rnacentral:rRNA from 1 species
CCUACGGGAGGCUGCAGUGGGGGAUAUUGGACAAUGGGGGGGAACCCUGAUCCAGCGACGCCGCGUGAGUGAAGAAGUAUUUCGGUAUGUAAAGCUCUGUCAGCAGGGAAGAAAGCAAUGACGGUACCUGACCAAGAAGCCCCGGCUAACUACGUGCCAGCAGCCGCGGUAAUACGUAGGGGGCAAGCGUUAUCCGGAAUUACUGGGUGUAAAGGGAGCGUAGACGGCUGUGCAAGUCUGGAGUGAAAGGCGGGGGCCCAACCCCCGGACUGCUCUGGAAACUGUGUAGCUAGAGUGCUGGAGAGGCAAGCGGAAUUCCUAGUGUAGCGGUGAAAUGCGUAGAUAUUAGGAAGAACACCAGUGGCGAAGGCGGCUUGCUGGACAGUAACUGACGUUGAGGCUCGAAAGCGUGGGGAGCAAACAGGAUUAGAUACCCUAGUAGUC